rnacentral:rRNA from 1 species
UACGUAGGGGGCAAGCGUUGUCCGGAAUCAUUGGGCGUAAAGAGCGUGUAGGCGGUCCGGUAAGUCGGCUGUGAAAGUCCAGGGCUCAACCCUGGGAUGCCGGUCGAUACUGCCGGACUAGAGUUCGGAAGAGGCGAGUUGAAUUCCCGGUGUAGCGGUGAAAUGCGCAGAUAUCGGGAGGAACACCUAUGGCGAAGGCAGCUCGCUGGGACGUUACUGACGCUGAGACGCGAAAGCGUGGGGAGCAAACAGG